AAGUGUUGUGAAUCUCGCUGAGACAGCAGACCACUGAGAGCCUCAGAUUAACCAAUCAGUCAGAUCGCUGUCUCCACUUCUCUUCCGUUCCCUUUGUUUUUUAAGUACCCCAUAUAUGUUAGCCAUCACAUUAGCUUGUUAGCCAUCACAUUAGCAAACUGCUUCGGAGCACAGCUGCCGGAGUCGCGGGUUUUGUUGAAUCAGGCGUUGGCCCUGCUGGAGGAAUGCUCUGCGAUGAUGGUGGAAAGCAGCCGCCAUUCAACCCAUUUGAGAGAUUCAAAGAACUGGCUACAGUUUCUGUUCCUGUCCGAGGUUUGCAGUGGAGAGCUCAGACCACACAGGACCCCGUCCUCUCCAAACCCUGCUCAGCUCUCUGGGGGCAGUGUCCAGCUCUCUCACCUGUCUGCAGCUGCAUAAGAGGGCGGAGCGAGUGGCAGCUCUGCUGAUAGAGAGAGGCGGUCUGCAGGAAGGAGACCAUGUCGCUCUGGUGUACCCGCCAGGUAUAGACCUGAUCGCAGCCUUUUACGGCUGCCUGUACGCCGGCUGCGUUCCCAUCACAGUGCGACCGCCUCACCCUCAGAACAUCUCCACCACCCUGCCCACUGUUAAGAUGAUUGUCGAGGUGAGUCACUCGGCGUGUGUGAUGACCACCGCCGUCAUCUGUACGCUGCUG